rnacentral:rRNA from 1 species
CAGCCGCCGCGGUAACACGGAGGGUGCAAGCGUUAAUCGGAAUUACUGGGCGUAAAGCGCACGCAGGCGGUCUGUCAAGUCAGAUGUGAAAUCCCCGGGCUUAACCUGGGAACUGCAUUUGAAACUGGCAGGCUAGAGUCUUGUAGAGGGGGGUAGAAUUCCAGGUGUAGCGGUGAAAUGCGUAGAGAUCUGGAGGAAUACCGGUGGCGAAGGCGGCCCCCUGGACAAAGACUGACGCUGAGGCACGAAAGCGUGGGGAGCAAACAGGAUUAGAGACCCGCGUAGUCCCUGUCUCUUAUAC